GCUCUUGUAGCAUACUGGUAAUGCACCCGACAAUAAUGAUGAAUUUGGGAGAAGUUCUUCGGGGAUACUGGGUUUGAAUCCCAGCGAGAGCA